rnacentral:rRNA from 1 species
UACGAAGGGGGCUAGCGUUGCUCGGAAUCACUGGGCGUAAAGCGCACGUAGGCGGCUUGCUAAGUCAGGGGUGAAAUCCUGGAGCUCAACUCCAGAACUGCCUUUGAUACUGGCGACCUUGAGUCCGGGAGAGGUGAGUGGACCUGCGAGUGUAGAGGUGAAAUUCGUAGAUAUUCGCAAGAACACCAGUGGCGAAGGCGGCUCACUGGCCCGGUACUGACGCUGAGGUGCGAAAGCGUGGGGAGCAAACAGG